AAGCAUUUCUGUAUGUUGAUUGUUUCCCUAUACAUUGCAAAAUUUAUGUACUUACAACAUUCUUACAUUUAAUUUCAUUUAAAUAUUGUAUUGUGAUAUUUAACAUAUUAGCUGUAAAAAAUUGGAACAUUUAAUUGAGUAUUUGCUUCCUGGCUUCAGAACUGGCAUACUCAACUUUUCUCUCCAGAGCUGGCUAUAUCCAGAAGAAAUCAGAAAAAUUAAUCCUGACACCUCUAUCUCACUGAGAGAUCUCUGUGAGGUCACAGUGCAACAGAUCAAAGGAAAUGUAAUCAUGCAAGAGAAGGUUUCUUCUUUCCCUGGAUCCUGGAGAACAGUUCUGCUAUCAACUAGAAAACACCUUGAAGAACAAUGGAUCACAUCUGACUCACAAUGAUCUUUAAACCCUACUGUGAUCAUCAAUCCUAACCCUUUCUGGCUUAUCAUGUGUGGAAUAGCUAUGGCAUAAAUAUGCCUGUGAAAAGAAAUCACAUCCCUGUUGAUCAGCUUAUUACCUGCAUUCCUACAGAUCUUCAGACUCACCCCAACCUUAUCCUCUCAAGGUCAAGAAUGCUUUGCAUCUAUGUACAUAGCUAAAACAAUCUAUAUGUGUAGAUUAUGUUCAGAACUUAACUGA